GUGGGGAAUUUUGGACAAUGGGCGAAAGUCUGAUCCAGCAAUGCCGCGUGUGUGAAGAAGGCCUUCGGGUUGUAAAGCACUUUUGGCAGGGAAGAAACAGUGCGUGCUAAUACCAUGCGCGAAUGACGGUACCUGCAGAAUAAGCACCGGCUAACUACGUGCCAGCAGCCGCGGUAAUACGUAGGGUGCAAGCGUUAAUCGGAAUUACUGGGCGUAAAGCGUGCGCAGGCGGCUUUGUAAGACGGAUGUGAAAGCCCCGGGCUCAAACUGGGAUGUGCAUUCGUGACUGCAAGGCUAGAGUGUGUCAGAGGGAGGUGGAAUUCCGCGUGUAGCAGUGAAAUGCGUAGAGAUGCGGAGGAACACCGAUGGCGAAGGCAGCCUCCUGGGAUAACACUGACGCUCAGGCACGAAAGCGUGGGGAGCAAACAGGAUUAGAAACCCCUGUAGUCC
rnacentral:rRNA from 1 species